GAUAGCCUGCUGUGUGCGUAGCUUCGGCUUAGUUUUGAGCCAACACUAAUACAUCGGGAACUUGGCGUUCUGUGGUGGAAUAUAUGCCUCAACAGAGGACUUAAGAAACUUCAGACAGAGUACCCACCUGCGAAAGCAGGGUCAAAACGGUCGACAUACGGCAUGGCGGGUGAUAU
rnacentral:other from 2 species